CAGUCGUACCGACGAGAAAUCAACUCCUUGAGUGUGAACUUGUGGGCGUGUGUGAGCUUUAAAACCUCGCUGUUCGCAAUGUUUGUGCUUUUUGGGUGUACUUUUUCGUAUGGUAGGCCAACAUCAGUUUUGGUCGCUAUAAAAUGGCUGGAGGAAUGUAGCUUCGAUCUCGUAUUGAAGUGUUAUAGCCUCUGGUAGAUGUAGUGAUUGAUACUGAGGAUUGCAACGAAUACCCUUCGGGCUAUUCGCCUGAUCUCUG
rnacentral:rRNA from 1 species